rfam:Schistosoma rodhaini strain Burundi genome assembly, scaffold: SROB_scaffold0001245
AUCCAGCUGACGAGUAGCAAAUAGGACGAACCGCGCGUUCUGGAU